GGAGGAUUGCUUGGGCCUGGGAGGUCGAGGCUGCAGUGAGCUGUGAUCAUACCACUGCACUCCAGCCUGAGUGACAGAGUGAGACCAUGUCUC
rnacentral:miRNA from 1 species